AGGUGAUCCGGGAGGAGAGUGCAGCCGACUGGGCUCUGUACACUUACGAAGAUGGCUCAGAUGACCUCAAGCUUGCAGCAUCAGGAGAAGGCUUUGGACGCCAGGCUCAGGUUUGAGCAGGAGCGGAUGGAGCAGGAGCGGCAGGAGCAGGAGGAACGGGAACGGCGCUACCGAGAGCGGGAGCAGCAGAUCGAGGAGCACAGGAGGAAACAGCAGAGUCUGGAAGCUGAAGAGGCCAAGAGGAGGUUAAAGGAUCAGUCUAUCUUUGGUGAUCAGCGAGAUGAAGAGGAAGAGUCCCAGAUGAAGAAGUCGGAAUCUGAGGUGGAGGAGGCAGCUGCCAUCAUUGCCCAGCGGCCUGAUAACCCACGGGAGUUCUUCAGACAGCAGGAACGAGUGGCUUCAGCCUCUGGUGGCAGCUGUGACGCACCCUCGCCCUUCAACCACCGACCAGGCAGUCACCUGGACAGCCACCGGAGGAUGGCGCCCACUCCCAUUCCCACCCGGAGCCCAUCUGAUUCCAGCACAGCCUCCACCCCCAUCACGGAGCAGAUCGAGAGGGCCCUGGAUGAGGUCACAUCCUCGCAG
rnacentral:lncRNA from 1 species